GAUGAACGCUGGCGGCGUGCCUAAUACAUGCAAGUCGAGCGAACAGACGAGGAGCUUGCUCCUCUGACGUUAGCGGCGGACGGGUGAGUAACACGUGGAUAACCUACCUAUAAGACUGGGAUAACUUCGGGAAACCGGAGCUAAUACCGGAUAAUAUAUUGAACCGCAUGGUUCAAUAGUGAAAGACGGUUUUGCUGUCACUUAUAGAUGGAUCCGCGCCGCAUUAGCUAGUUGGUAAGGUAACGGCUUACCAAGGCAACGAUGCGUAGCCGACCUGAGAGGGUGAUCGGCCACACUGGAACUGAGACACGGUCCAGACUCCUACGGGAGGCAGCAGUAGGGAAUCUUCCGCAAGGGGCGAAAGCCUGACGGAGCAACGCCGCGUGGGUGAUGAAGGUCUUCGGAUCGUAAAACUCUGUUAUUAGGGAAGAAAAAAUGUGUAAGUAACUAUGCACGUCUUGACGGUACCUAAUCAAAAAGCCACGGCUAACUACGU
rnacentral:rRNA from 1 species